UUGAAAGGGAAACGAUUGAAGUCAGUCGUACUGACGGGAAAUCAACUUCUCGAGUGCUUGUCGUGGAUGACGUUGAGCUUCACGGCUUUCGUUGUUUAUGUUAUGGUGCUUUUGAGGUGUACUUUUCCGUAUGGUAGGUCAACAUCGAUUUUGAUCGUCAUAAAAUGAUUGGAGGAAUGUAGCUCUGAUCUCGUAUUGGAGUGUUAUAGCCUUUGGUAGAUGUGACGAUUGAGAUCGAGGAUUGCAACGAAUACCCUUUGGGCUAUCCGUCUGACCUCUGAAAGUCGCUAGGGUGUGGAAAACGUGCUUAUAACAUUCUAGUUGGCGGUCAAAAGGUUAGAACGCGAUUACAUUCGUUAAGGAUGU
rnacentral:rRNA from 1 species